rnacentral:rRNA from 1 species
CCUACGGGAGGCAGCAGUGGGGAAUAUUGGACAAUGGGCGCAAGCCUGAUCCAGCCAUGCCGCGUGGGUGAAGAAGGCCUUMGGGUUGUAAAGCCCUUUUGUUGGGAAAGAAAUCCAGCUGGCUAAUACCCGGUUGGGAUGACGKUACCCAGAGAAUAAGCACCGGCUAACUUCGUGCCAGCAGCCGCGGUA